UGUGCACUCCCUCCGUUCCAAAAUACUUGACUUCCAUUUGUCCAAAAAUGGAUGUACCUAUAUACUAAAACAUGUCUAGAUACAUAUAUAUUUUGACAAAUAGAAGGCAUGUAUUGUGUAACGGAGGGAGUAGAAU
rfam:Triticum aestivum genome assembly, contig: Triticum_aestivum_CS42_TGACv1_scaffold_646511_T_3AS-0.040766_2AS-0.022253